rnacentral:rRNA from 1 species
GACGAACGCUGGCGGCGUGCCUAAUACAUGCAAGUUGAGCGCUGAAGGUUGGUGCUUGUACCAACUGGAUGAGCAGCGCACGGGUGAGUAACGCGUGGGGAAUCUGCCUUUGAGCGGGGGACAACAUUUGGAAACGAAUGCUAAUACCGCAUAAAAACUUUAAACACAAGUUUUAAGUUUGAAAGAUGCAAUUGCAUCACUCAAAGAUGAUCCCGCGUUGUAUUAGCUAGUUGGUGAGGUAAAGGCUCACCAAGGCGAUGAUACAUAGCCGACCUGAGAGGGUGAUCGGCCACAUUGGGACGGAGACACGGCCCAAACUCCUACGGGAGGCAGCAGUAGGGAAUCGUCGGCAAGGGACGAAAGUCUGACCGAGCAACGCCGCGUGAGUGAAGAAGGUUUUCGGAUCGUAAAACUCUGUUGGUAGAGAAGAACGUUGGUGAGAGUGGAAAGCUCAUCAAGUGACGGUAACUACCCAGAAAGGGACGGCUAACUACGUG